GAUGAACGCUGGCGGCGUGCCUAAUACAUGCAAGUCGAGCGAACAGAUAAGGAGCUUGCUCCUUUGGCGUUAGCGGCGGACGGGUGAGUAACACGUGGGUAACCUACCUAUAAGACUGGAAUAACUCCGGGAAACCGGGGCUAAUGCCGGAUAAUAUUUAGAACCGCAUGGUUCUAAAGUGAAAGAUGGUUUUACUAUCACUUAUAGAUGGACCCGCGCCGUAUUAGCUAGUUGGUGGGGUAAUGGCUUACCAAGGCAACGAUACGUAGCCGACCUGAGAGGGUGAUCGGCCACACUGGAACUGAGAUACGGUCCAGACUCCUACGGGAGGCAGCAGUAGGGAAUCUUCCGCAAUGGGCGAAAGCCUGACGGAGCAACGCCGCGUGAGUGAUGAAGGUCUUCGGAUCGUAAAACUCUGUUAUUAGGGAAGAACAAAUGUGUAAGUAACUGUGCACGUCUUGACGGUACCUAAUCAGAAAGCCACGGCUAACUACGUGCCAGCAGCCGCGGUAAUACGUAGGUGGCAAGCGUUAUCCGGAAUUAUUGGGCGUAAAGCGCGCGUAGGCGGUUUCUUAAGUCUGAUGUGAAAGCCCACGGCUCAACCGUGGAGGGUCAUUGGAAACUGGGAAACUUGAGUACAGAAGAGGAAAGUGGAAUUCCAUGUGUAGCGGUGAAAUGCGCAGAGAUAUGGAGGAACACCAGUGGCGAAGGCGACUUUCUGGUCUGUAACUGACGCUGAUGUGCGAAAGCGUGGGGAUCAAACAGGAUUAGAUACCCUGGUAGUCCACGCCGUAAACGAUGAGUGCUAAGUGUUAGGGGGUUUCCGCCCCUUAGUGCUGUAGCUAACGCAUUAAGCACUCCGCCUGGGGAGUACGACCGCAAGGUUGAAACUCAAAGGAAUUGACGGGGACCCGCACAAGCGGUGGAGCAUGUGGUUUAAUUCGAAGCAACGCGAAGAACCUUACCAAAUCUUGACAUCCUUUGACAACUCUAGAGAUAGAGUCUUCCCCUUCGGGGGACAAAGUGACAGGUGGUGCAUGGUUGUCGUCAGCUCGUGUCGUGAGAUGUUGGGUUAAGUCCCGCAACGAGCGCAACCCUU
rnacentral:rRNA from 1 species